GCAAACGGGUGAGUAAUGCAUAGGAAUCUGUCCUGUAGUAAAGAAUAACGUAUGGAAACAUACGCUAAUACUGUAUACUACCUAGUGCUUGAUUGUACUAGGGAAAGCCUUCGGGCGCUACUUGAGGAGCCUAUGUCGGAUUAGUUAGUUGGUGGGGUAAAAGCCUACCAAGACUGUGAUCUGUAGCUGGUCUGAGAGGAUGAUCAGCCACGUUGGGACUGAGACACGGCCCAAACUCC
rnacentral:rRNA from 1 species